rnacentral:rRNA from 1 species
CUUAACGGUACGGAAGUCGAAAGCGAUGUUCAAGUAUACGACGAGGAAAAGUCCACUGAAACAUACACUAAAGAUGAAGAUUUUUAAUCUUUUAUGGAAGUCUAGUUUCGUCGCCUAAACAUCUAAAGACCCAUAACCACGAUGAGGUAGAGGUAGGUCGAAUGCCAGAAACCAGUGACUAAGAUUCCCCUGCUAGUCCUAAUGCUACUCCCGCUCUGCAACUUCGACCGCAGCCGUUGAAACUGGCGUUGGCGCUGGAAUUGUAGCUGGUACCCUCGCUCCGCAGUCGGGAACUGUAUCUGGCACAACCGGGGAACACAAAGACUGGUCGGCGCGAGGCCAAGGCCGUCGAGGGUAAGGUCAGCUAGGGAAGGUCCUCGGAAGUCUAGCGAUUACUAUGAUUCUAACGUACUCAGGUACUUCGUUCGUUAUUAGAUAGAGUUUUAUAACACAGGUUCGUAUAUUGCCAAGUAGUUAAAAGCUUUACUCUGAUAACGAUACAUCGUGCGACCGUUCUGUUCUCUUAUUAAGAACGUAUACAGACUCGAUACGGCGGAGGGUGGUUUGAGCUCGAGCCGCGAGAGCGUACGUUCCGAUUCGAUAGAGGUGGCUGAGGAAAAAGACAGGCUCGAGGAGGGAUGGGACCGUUUUGGUUUACGAUGUUAGAGGAAAAAAACCCUAAGAUUUUGAAUACAGUCAAGUGACAGUACCUAUCUAAUCACUAUUACUCCAAUCCUAGUGAUGUAACCUCUCCUACUCCUCGAUAUGACCGAUGCUCUACAACGAACUCGUAAAGGUCGUCACCGUCAUCUGUGUACACCGUCGUGAAGACCCAUCUAAAACAGGUAAAUGAAAAACAUAGGAAACUUAAACUUAUAAGACACGUUAACUCAGAUUUAGACGAGUUUAAUUAGAACAUGUGAGACUUAUUUUAAUUACAAAACAUAGAAUGAUUUAAAACAAAACAUUACCUUC